UUGAUAGGCCGGAUGUGUAAGCGCAGCGAUGCGUUGAGCUAACCGGUACUAAUGAACCGUGAGGCUUAACCUUACAACGCCGAAGC
rnacentral:rRNA from 1 species